GAUGAACGCUGGCGGCGUGCCUAAUACAUGCAAGUCGAGCGAACAGACGAGGAGCUUGCUCCUCUGACGUUAGCGGCGGACGGGUGAGUAACACGUGGAUAACCUACCUAUAAGACUGGGAUAACUUCGGGAAACCGGAGCUAAUACCGGAUAAUAUAUUGAACCGCAUGGUUCAAUAGUGAAAGACGGUUUUGCUGUCACUUAUAGAUGGAUCCGCGCCGCAUUAGCUAGUUGGUAAGGUAACGGCUUACCAAGGCAACGAUGCGUAGCCGACCUGAGAGGGUGAUCGGCCACACUGGAACUGAGACACGGUCCAGACGCUUACGGGAGGCAGCAGUAGGGAAUCUUCCGCAAUGGGCGAAAGCCUGACGGAGCAACGCAGCGUGAGUGAUGAAGGUCUUCGGAUCGUAAAACUCUGUUAUUAGGGAAGAACAAAUGUGUAAGUAACUAUGCACGUCUUGACGGUACCUAAUCAGAAAGCCACGGCUAACUACGUG
rnacentral:rRNA from 1 species